GGUUUGCAGUGGUCUGGUAGUACGAGGCUUGGCAGUCAAUGGACAUCUUGCAACCGCGAUUUUGACAUAAACGAAGUGCUGUCUUUUUGCGCACCUUUCGAGCAGUAACCUGCGCUGUUUAUUGAAAGGGGGCCUCAGUUUUUGUCGUCUGCUGAACGUGGUUUUCUCGGCACAAAUCAACUUCAAUAAAUUAGACGACAGGUGUAUACAUUGGAUAUGCAUUUUGGCAACUGGCAUUAUAUUUCAAACUAGGCAUUGGUUGUUAUAUGGGGAGAAGUCUAACAGAAGGCCUAUCAAACAGGUGCCAACUGGUUCUUCUAAAAGCAGGAAAAUCUUAGAGACUUGGCCAAAGUCAGGGAUCAGUCUGAUUCAUAAGGUCACUGGUAAGCACCGAAAGCAAACCCUGCCUCAGAGGUGCUUAGACCAUCAUGGCUGUCUAGACAGAAGACAUGACUUUACGCAGGAUCCGACUGGAUCCAAGAAGCACUGUAUUACUAUGUGUCGUUAUGCCCCUCCAUAAUGGGCAAGUGGGGUCUUUACCCCCAUCUGGGCGCCCACCAACCUGGCAGAUUGCAGGCAUUACGGUGACCGCGUACUCGAUACAGCAUGCCUAGUGGAUAUCAACGACCACCAGGAAAGCACUGGACGUCAUCGUCAACGGACCGUUCGCCAGACCACAGAAACUCCCCAACGACUGAAACGAGUCAUAGUCUCAUGGAUAAAGCUAGAGAAACACGAGAAAGAAAGACAGACAAGUUUCACAAUUUACUGUCGUCACUGGGGUUUGAACCCCCAAACCAUGGGAGAUGCUGAUCUGCAUCCUGUGAGAAAAGAAAUAGUGACUGCUGCUGUUCCACAUACACAAUGGAAGUUGUCUAUUACAAGUCACAAAUUAUAGAUCUGACCACAAUGUUUGGACGUUAUUAUAAUUAU